GGGAAAGGAGGAAGCUGGGUCGCGUUCUGGCAAGAGAUAGAGCAGAGCCCCUUGUGGCUGAGCAGUGAAAUGGUGCUGCCUUAGGGACAGCAGAUGGCAUAAGGGGAAGGAUUCAAGGAGGAGGAAGAGCUGCUUUGUAGCCCUCUAGCAGAUUCGUGCCUCCUGGAGAGCUACCAAAUCCAGGUGGGCUCCUAGGGAGCUUUCUCCAAUAUGGGCAAGUUCCGACAAGAAGAUGGAGCUGCUCAUUUGGCUCUGGGCCACAGAGAAGGGCAGAAUAAAAGCAGCAUCCAGUGGAGGCCAUCUUCAUACAGGAUCGCCAAGAAGGGACUACACAGAUCGUAGAAUUUCAGAGAUAAAGGAACCCCAGAGGGAGACGAUCCUUCGUAGACCCAGGAGGCUGCUAGAACUUCACUUUCAGAGAUGGGGCCUUCUUUGUGGGGGAGGACAAAGGGAUCCUCACUGAAGACUUGUUGGAGGUACUGAGUCACAAAUCAAUUAUCCAGUAACUUUUGGCUUACGAUUAUGUUUACUCCAUUAUGUGGCAUAGAGUAUUGGACUUGUGUUUAGGAAGACAUGGGUGUGAAUUCUUCCUGUUAUGACCUUAUUAAGUGAUUAAGAAUCACUUAAUUUUCUCAGCCUCAGUUUCUUCAUCUGGAAACUGGGUAUAAUAAUACUUGUAGCACUGCCUUCAUGGGAUUAGUUUAGUCUUAAAUGAGAUCUCAGAUGAGAUCAAAGGAUCAUAGUAUUUGAUCUGGGAAGGGCCUUAGAAGUCAAUGAGUCAGGGGCAGCUAGGUAGCUCAGUGGAUAGAACACCAGCCCUGAAGUCAGGAGGACCUGAGUUCAAAUCUGGCUUCAGCCAUUUAACACUUCCUGGCUGUGUGACCCUGGGCAAGUCACUUAACCCCAAUUGCCUCAGCAAAAAAAAAACAAAAACAAUGACUCCAAACUUCCCUGUUUAUAGCUAGAAGACAGAGGUCUGUAGAAGUUAAAGUCUGAGGAAUCAGCUAUUAAAUUUCUGAGGUCUUCCUGUAUCUGUCCACCAUCCUAUACUGUCUCUCAAUGUCUGUGGUACAUUUUGUAAACUUUGAGGAACCAUGUAAAUUUUGCUUAUUGGUACAGAUUAAUUUACUCAUUAAGGAAAACAAGCUUUACAUAAAUAUAUUCAAAGACAUAUGAAGAAGGGGCUUGCCCAAUCUUUCCAGUCACUACCUUCUCACUUCAUUACUUCCAAGAAACAGGAUAGGUUGUUCCCCCCAUCAACUACAUGGGCCCGAAUGAGAUCAUCUUGUAUGCCUCUGGGUAUAACCUUGGAUAGAUCACAACCCCUUUCAGUUUGUUUCCUCAUCUAUAAAAUGGGUAGAAUAAUAGUGCCUACCUCCCAGAGCUGUUGUGAGAGCCGAAUGAGAGAACUAUGAUAAAGCACUUUGAAAACCUCAAAAUACUAUAAAAAUGCUAACUAUUAUUAUUAUCCUCCUCCUCAUUAUCUGUGAUAUACUUUGCACAUUUUAGAGUGUUCUAUAAAUGGUACAUAGUAGUAUUACUUGCUUUGUGACCCUGGACAUGUCUAAAGUAGGGAUAAUAAUCUUUCUGGCAGAGCUAUUUGGAGUUCGAAAAUGAGAUUAUGUGUGUGUAUAAUAAGCUUUGCAAACAUUAAAACAUUAUAUGAAUAUGAGCUAUUAUUCUUUUUUUCCUUGCUAUUUCUCUAGCAGAGGGAACCAUUGAAAUCACACUUUCUCCCAGCCAUGGUGCACAAAUCAUAUUCAUUCUCUUCCACUUGAAUGACUUCUUUCAUAAAGAUUGUAGAACCAGAGGUCUCUCAAGAUUCGAUUGCCUCUUAAAGAAACAAUAAUAGUAUCCACAGUCACCACGAGAGAGUCUAAUAAAGAGGGUGCUCCAUUUAGGUAAGCAGAUAAUAG
ensembl:lncRNA